AGUGAACGCUGGCGGUAGGCCUAACACAUGCAAGUCGAACGGCAGCACAGUAAGAGCUUGCUCUUACGGGUGGCGAGUGGCGGACGGGUGAGGAAUACAUCGGAAUCUAUUUUUUCGUGGGGGAUAACGUAGGGAAACUUACGCUAAUACCGCAUACGACCUACGGGUGAAAGCAGGGGAUCUUCGGACCUUGCGCGAUUGAAUGAGCCGAUGUCGUAUUAGCUAGUUGGCGGGGUAAAGGCCCACCAAGGCGACGAUCCGUAGCUGGUCUGAGAGGAUGAUGAGCCACACUGGAACUUGAACACGGUCCAGACUCGUACGGGAGGCAGCAGUGGGGAAUAUUGGACAAUGGGCGCAAGCCUGAUCCAGCCAUACCGGGUGGGUGAAGAAGGCCUUCGGGUUGUAAAGCCCUUUUGUUGGGAAAGAAAAGCAGCAGGUUAAUACCCCGCUGUUCUGACGGUACCCAAAGGAUAAGCACCGGCUAACUUCGUG
rnacentral:rRNA from 1 species